rnacentral:rRNA from 1 species
CAAGUCGAACGGUAACAGGAAGCAGCUUGCUGCUUCGCUGACGAGUGGCGGACGGGUGAGUAAUGUCUGGGAAACUGCCUGAUGGAGGGGGAUAACUACUGGAAACGGUAGCUAAUACCGCAUAACGUCGCAAGACCAAAGAGGGGGACCUUCGGGCCUCUUGCCAUCGGAUGUGCCCAGAUGGGAUUAGCUAGUAGGUGGGGUAACGGCUCACCUAGGCGACGAUCCCUAGCUGGUCUGAGAGGAUGACCAGCCACACUGGAACUGAGACACGGUCCAGACUCCUACGGGAGGCAGCAGUGGGGAAUAUUGCACAAUGGGCGCAAGCCUGAUGCAGCCAUGCCGCGUGUAUGAAGAAGGCCUUCGGGUUGUAAAGUACUUUCAGCGGGGAGGAAGGUGUUGAGGUUAAUAACCUCAGCAAUUGACGUUACCCGCAGAAGAAGCACCGGCUAACUCCGUGCCAGCAGCCGCGGUAAUACGGAGGGUGCAAGCGUUAAUCGGAAUUACUGGGCGUAAAGCGCACGCAGGCGGUCUGUCAAGUCGGAUGUGAAAUCCCCGGGCUCAACCUGGGAACUGCAUUCGAAACUGGCAGGCUAGAGUCUUGUAGAGGGGGGUAGAAUUCCAGGUGUAGCGGUGAAAUGCGUAGAGAUCUGGAGGAAU